GAUGAACGCUGGCGGCGUGCCUAAUACAUGCAAGUCGAACGAAACUUCUUUAUCACCGAGUGCUUGCACUCACCGAUAAAGAGUUGAGUGGCGAACGGGUGAGUAACACGUGGGCAACCUGCCCAAAAGAGGGGGAUAACACUUGGAAACAGGUGCUAAUGCCGCAUAACCAUAGUUACCGCAUGGUAACUAUGUAAAAGGUGGCUAUACUACCGCUUUUGGAUGGGCCCGCGGCGCAUUAGCUAGUUGGUAGGGUAAAGGCUUACCAAGGCAAUGAUGCGUAGCCGAAUUGAGAGGUUGAUCGGCCACAUUGGGACUGAGACACGGCCCAAACUCCUACGGGAGGCAGCAGUAGGGAAUCUUCCACAAUGGGCGAAAGCCUGAUGGAGCAACGCCGCGUGGGUGAAGAAGGUCUUCGGAUCGUAAAACCCUGUUGUUAGAGAAGAAAGUGCGUGAGAGUAACUGUUCACGUUUCGACGGUAUCUAACCAGAAAGCCACGGCUAACUACGUG
rnacentral:rRNA from 1 species